CCCACUCCCAGUCUACUUGAGGGCCAGGGAGCAAGAUCACAGCGUUCUGCUGGCUCAGACAUAUCUUUCUGCGUUGGGGCCUUUCACUUGCUGCUCUUUCUGUCUGAUGCUCUGGCCUCCUCCUUCUGUCACGCGGAUCUGGGCUGAAGUUCUCCCUUCACACAAUCCCUUCCUUCUCCCAGUGUAUCCUGUUACAACCACGGACAUUGGCUUCAUGCGGUAAUCGUUUAUGUUUUUAACUUCAGUGAUGGGCUCAGGGACCUUGACCUGCUCAGAGCAUGCUUUGUGCUUGAGCUCCGCCCCUCGGCCCCUAACUGUGAUGCAGC
rnacentral:lncRNA from 1 species